AGUUGCGUAGCUCAGAGGCAGAGCACUGGCAUGACAUGCCGGAUGUCGGGAUUUCAAAAUUCCCCGCAACUACCA
rnacentral:tRNA from 1 species